UACGUAGGGGGCAAGCGUUGUCCGGAUUUAUUGGGCGUAAAGAGCGUGUAGGCGGCUGGGAAGGUCGGUUGGGAAAACUCGAGGCUCAACCUCGAGACGCCGAUGGAAACCGCAUGGCUAGAGUCCGGAAGAGGAGAGUGGAAUUCCUGGUGUAGCGGUGAAAUGCGCAGAUAUCAGGAAGAACACCCGUGGCUAAGGCGGCUCUCUAGUACGGUACUGACGCUGAGACGCGAAAGCGUGGGGAGCGAACAGG
rnacentral:rRNA from 1 species